GCCGGUAUAGCUCAGUUGGGAGAGCGUCAGACUGAAGAUCUGAAGGUCGCUGGUUCGAUCCCGGCUGUCGGCA
rnacentral:tRNA from 1 species